GCUCCAACACUACCAGAAUCAAGGGUAUGAUGUCAGGAAAAUAUUACAAGCUAGUUAAAUGAGGCAUCGUAAAAUUCUCAAUCAUCAUCAUUAACUCAUUCGAAGUUGCUGAUCAUAUGGAUGAAUCUAAUUAAAUUUCCAUAAUUUAGGCCAAAUGUUAACUGAGAAAUUCCCAAUGCUUAAUUGUUUACAAUACUGUUUUUGGGCAUGACUCCUCCUCAAUGUCCUCAACAUGGGAGAAUUGAAACAGUCAAGAAGAUCAAAAUAGUUCUGGAAUGCACUGCUCUUUUCUUGCGGCUUAACAAGUAUGAGAUUCAACUUAUUCACAAGGAGAAACUGCUUCCGCUUGAGAAGACCAUAAGUAUAUUUAAACUUAUGCAUGGUUCUUCUCAUGCCGAAGCAGUUUCUCCUUGUGAAUAAGUUGAAUCUAAUGCUUGUUAUGAAGCAAGAAAAGCACAGUACAUUCCAGAACCAUUUUGAGCUUCUUGACUGUUUCAGUUCUCCCUUGUUGAGGACAUUGAGGAGGAGUCAUGCCCAAAAAUAGUUUAGAUGACAGAAACUGAAAUUUCCUCCGAUGCCCAUAAGUAGAACUCUAAGAUGGACGUAUUCUUUAUCAUUAGCAAUUAACUUCAGAUGAGUCUUGAAGAAAUCAGGGCUAGAGAUUAGUUGAUGCUAGGGUUUUGAAAGGCACACGAAUCUCGACAACAAUUUCGUGGGCAGCCUUAAGAGGAUCUCUAUAAUGAUUUCAUCAUGGAUUAUUGAAUCACUCAUUGGAGUUGCAACUCAAAAAAGAAAUGCUGGUAUCACAGAUUGAAGAAGUUCAAUUUCCUAAAGUAAGAGUUAGGUUCAGAUGUUUUUCUCAAAGUGAGGAGUGCUAGUAGACUGCAAAGUUUGUGCCCAAAUAAUCUUCUUCUAUAUAUAUGAAAGAAAGAAUCCUUAGCCCGGCAUGUGGCACACCAUAAUUUGGAAU
rnacentral:lncRNA from 1 species